CCUACGGGAGGCAGCAGUAGGGAAUAUUGCUCAAUGGGGGAAACCCUGAUGCAGCAACGCCGCGUGGAGGAUGAAGGUUUUCGGAUUGUAAACUCCUUUUGUUAGAGACGAUAAUGACGGUAUCUAACGAAUAAGCACCGGCUAACUCCGUGCCAGCAGCCGCGGUAAUACGGAGGGUGCAAGCGUUACUCGGAAUUACUGGUCGUAAAGAGCGCGUAGGCGGGAUAGCAAGUCAGAUGUGAAAUCCUUUGGCUUAACCAUAGAACUGCAUUUGAAACUGUUAAUCUAGAGUAUGGGAGAGGUAGGUGGAAUUCUUGGUGUAGCGGUAAAAUCCGUAGAGAUCAAGAGGAAUACUCAUUGCGAAGGCGACCUGCUAGAACAUAACUGACGCUGAUGCGCGAAAGCGUGGGGAGCAAACAGGAUUAGAUACCCCAGUAGUC
rnacentral:rRNA from 1 species